rnacentral:lncRNA from 1 species
CCAUCUUCCGUCCUUGUCUAAAGGGGGGUUGAAGCGUCUCCCUUUGGCCAUUUCCUGCAGGAAGCUGAAGGUGGCUGAGGCUGGCUCCCUUACCUCUCCAUUGCCUCAUAAGCUCUACACAUCUGGGAAGCCACUCCUCCUCCUUGUUCCUGAUCUUUAAUUCUCAGCCUCUACCAGGAGGGACUCCAGGAGUGCCCACGGUUGUCAUGGAAUCAGAGCCCCCAUCACAGUGGGGAGCAGUGCAGGUCUUCUAGCCCCCUGAGUCAUAGAAUCAGAGCCCCCAUCACAAUGGGGAGGAGUGCGGAUCUUCUAGCCCUCUGAGGGUCCCUGCUACUGGUGCCUUGCACUGCUGCUCCCCAGUGUAUGAGGCAGACGGCCACCAGGUCCCAGCUGAGGAAGCCCCACAAACAGGUCACACAGCACUGAUGGCUCAGAGAGGUGGGCUCCUGGAUGUGAUGCCUGCGGUGGAGCAGUCUUCUUGCAACCAUGAGGCCAAAAGUCACACGGAGGGAAAGUUGUGGAAUUAUGCGUGCUAUGCAGGAAUGUUUUCACACAUGCGUCUGUCCAUGCCCACCUGUGAUGUCCCCACAAACACUCAGACCCUCAACACACAAGCAGGCUUCAGUUUGUCGUUCCACCAAAUGAAAGUUUCACCUCCACAUUCACGUCCACAAAUCCUGGACUUCACUGGCAUGUGGGGAAAGCCAAUCCAUCUGCGUGUAAAAUGUGGAGCAGCUGAGAAAUUCUCAGGCAUCUGAACUAUAAAACACAUUUUCAUUUCACCCUGCAAGGUAAACUAUCUGGAUUCUUUCUGCAAACAGCAACCGAAUCGAGACUGUAAUCAGCUCCCCCACAAGGUCAUUCUGGAACACCAAGGACAGCGCAGACCCCUCCUGGCUCUCCUCAGUAAUGGAUGGAGGCAAUGGUGCAGAUAAUCCAGCCAAAUGCCAAACAACUACUCCUCUUCUCCCCACUCUGACAUCACCAGCAAGAGGGCAGAGGCUUAACCUCAGAGAAGGUGAACCUGAAUGUCUUCACAGGAAGCUAUUGAAAGAUGUGCUUCUAACAACAAGGAUGGGAUGCAGGAAACAGUAGGAGAAAGAAGGGAAGUCUCAGGAUGGUGGAAGAGGAAAGCCACAGGAUGCAGUGGUACAAGGGAACACUCACUCCAGACUGGAGCAGGAGGGCACUGGGCUUCUGGAAAAAGAGGAAAAAGAGGAAAGACUAAAACAAAACAAAAAUCACGCCUGUGCUGCUCAACGAGUAAGCAGAGCAUUAAGGAGAACGUCAUGAUGAUACAUAGAAAACCUGGCAAACGUAAAGUUGAUGCCAUUGUUAACUCCAGAAAAAUGUGGUGAGUAUUUCAGAAAAGAGACAAGCGACUAGAGCACAUCUGGCUCAGCAGUUGAC